rnacentral:rRNA from 1 species
CGGGAAACCGGAGCUAAUACCGGAUAAUAUUCGAACCGCAUGGUUCGAUAGUGAAAGUGGUUUUGCUAUCACUUAUAGAUGGACCCGCGCCGUAUUAGCUAGUUGGUAAGGUAACGGCUUACCAAGGCGACGAUACGUAGCCGACCUGAGAGGGUGAUCGGCCACACUGGAACUGAGACACGGUCCAGACUCCUGGGAGCAGCAGCA